UUGUAAACCGGGUUACACAGGAAAAUAUUGCGAAACUGAUAUCAGCGUAUGUUCCAUGGCCAGUGAUCCCUGUUUAAAUGGAGGGACGUGUGUUGCUGAGGCUCUUGGACAUCCGCUUUGUAAUUGUCGGCCUGGAUACGGAGGAAACCUCUGCCAGACUGACAUCAAUGAAUGCUCCAGUAACCCCUGUUUAAACGGAAUGUCGUGUUUUGAUCUAGUGAAUGGAUAUGAAUGUAUGUGAGACCAGAUCAAUUAUGACGGAGUUCAUUGUGAA